rnacentral:lncRNA from 1 species
UUGAUCUAAUGGUUGAAUUGAGGUUUAUUGAGGUUUAAGUGGGUUAAGAUUUCAGAAAGUAGAAUUUUAGAUCUAGUGAGGAUUUUUAAGAUUUCUUAUAAUCUAUUAGUUAGAUUGGAAUAAAAUUUAUGUAUGAGAAUAGUAGAAUUAUUUUACUAUGUAUAUGAGAAUUUUGAGAUUAAUCGAACAGUGAAAAGAAGAGAUAUUGGCUCUAGGAGAUUAGCAUCAAGGUCAAAGAAGGAGGCCAGCCAAUACCCGAGCACAUUUUUGAGGUUAUCAUCUAUUUGGUAAUUUUGAUUCUUUUCAAAUUUUUUGUACUUUUUUUCAUCUUAAUUGUUAAAAAGUAUGCAAAUUUUGAGUUAUAAUCAAUAAUCAUUCAUUAGUUAUUGAGAUUCAAAUUUGUUGUAGGAAUUAUUUAGGAUUGAUUAGGAUUUGGUUUAGGAUUUAGGAUUUGAUUAGGAUAUGGUUUAGGGUUUAGGAUUUGGUUAGGAUUUGAUUUAGGAUUUAGGAUUUGGUUUAGGAUUUAGGAUUUAGUUAGGAUUUGGUUUAAGAUUUAAGAUUUGAUUUAGGAUUUAAGAUUUGAUUAGAGUUUGGUUUAAGGUUUAGGAUUUGCUUAUAAUUUUAUUUAGGAUUUAGGAUUUGAUUAGGGAUUGAUUUAUGAUUUAAGAUUUAAUUAGGAUUUUAUUUAGGAUGAAUGACAACUAUGAAGGUUAUUUUGUAAAUCAAAGAAUGGAUUAUAAAAAAAAUUAAGAGAUUUUUAAGUAUUAAUUUUAAAUCAUUUGGAUGAAUAUUGAGAU